AUGUUCGUAAAAGAAUAAGUUACAAAGGUGUGGAACGAUCUAGGGACAUGCACAAGGGAUGGUGAAGGACCUUGGGACUACGAGAGCAGAAGGUGAUGGCGAUUGAACACAGGCCAGAAGAGCUGCAGGCUUUGCUCAUAAAAGCAACCAGGGAAAACACACCUGUACACACCUGACAUAACAGAUUCCCACCGGAGACAUACAAGAGACCAUCUAAGGCCUGGAGGACAGAGCGGGCCUGGAGAAUUGCCCUCUUUCACACCUUCUGUGCAACAACCUGCUCUGUGGGCACGCUCACAGUCCAGGGAGCACUCCGAGGUGUCUUGACAGCCGGGCUGGAGGAGAGCCCAGGUCUUCCGAAGGUGAAAGAGCUGUGAGCCCACAUCCUUCUGGUAAAGACGCUUCCCUUACACUUCACAACAAUAAACCCACUUUCACAAUAUGUAGCUUAGAUUUUCAGGUGACUCUUACAACAGUCAUUUCUCGCAACCUUUUCAUUGUGAGUUUAGGAUAUUCCUACUAGCAAUUCACUCAUUUUCAGUAAAUGGGAAAACCAAAGCAAGAAAUACUCAAUCGAAGCGGAAAAGUGCAUUACUUGACUUCUUUUCCAACCGACUACCGACAUGUUUUUCUCCUCCUUUAGAUUACAAGCAUAAACACUGAUAUAAGGGCAAGCGGCUUGCCUUUUGGGUCUAGAGUGUUUUUGAUGAUAACAGCACAGGCAGCCCCAGGGUGGAAUGUCUUAGCAGCAGUUAAAGGUUAACAAGAUGAAUCGAUAGGCCCAUUGAUGUCUCUGAAGGAGGAGCCACAUCAUGCAAGGCAGGUCCAGGGGUGAAGUUACAGGAACCUCCCAGCCUCUCUCUCCAAAUUUCCAGACCCAGCAGGUGUCAGUUACAUCUGCAGCCUGGGGCAGAAGCCCAGCCAAGUCACGGAGUAAAGGAUGUUCAAAGCUGGAAGGCACAUCACAGACCACAGAGACCAACUUCCUUAACUUACCGCCUAAGGCCUAUGUAACGUACCUUUGAUUAGGUGCCAGAAUAUUUCCAAGUAUUCUAUACAUUGUUAAUCAUUUUCCUAUACGUUAUAUCAUUUGUUUCUCCCCCCAAAUUUGAACUGCCAAUGUUUGUCCCAUUUUGCAGUUGAGGAAACCGAGGCUUGGAAAAGGCUAAUGGCUAGUUCUAAAGCAUGGAACGACGGGUAGGUGGGGCAGAGACUUGAGGCUCAGUUUUAUAAAUUUGGGGCUCUUGCCACUGGGUUAUGCCACUUUGUCGGCACCUCGAGCAGGAUAUCCUCCAGGAAACAUUUACUGUAUGCUUUCUAGAUGUCUGGGAUUGUGCAUAGCUCUGAAUUCUGUGCUCCUGCUACAUCUAGGUCAUUAAUAAAGUGGUGUGGAUAAAUUGCAA